UACGUAGGGUCCGAGCGUUGUCCGGAAUUACUGGGCGUAAAGAGCUCGUAGGUGGUUUGUCGCGUUGUUCGUGAAAACUCACAGCUCAACUGUGGGCGUGCGGGCGAUACGGGCAGACUAGAGUACUGCAGGGGAGACUGGAAUUCCUGGUGUAGCGGUGGAAUGCGCAGAUAUCAGGAGGAACACCGGUGGCGAAGGCGGGUCUCUGGGCAGUAACUGACGCUGGAGGAGCGAAAGCCGUGGGGAGC
rnacentral:rRNA from 1 species